rnacentral:rRNA from 1 species
GACGAACGCUGGCGGCGUGCUUAACACAUGCAAGUCGAACGGAAAGGCCCUGCUUUUGUGGGGUGCUCGAGUUGCGAACGGGUGAGUAACACGUGAGUAACCUGUCCUUGACUUUGGGAUAACUUCAGGACACUUGGGCUAAUACCGGAUAGGAUCUCCUGCUGCAUGGUGGGGGUUGGUAAGUUUCGGCGGUUGGGGAUGGACUCGCGGCCUAUCAGAUUGUUGCUGUGGUAGUGGCUUACCAAGGCUUGGAAGGGUAGCAGGCCUGAGAGGAUAAGCGGCCAAGCUGGGACUGAAAUGCGGCCCAGACUACUACGGGAGGGAGGAGUGGAGAAGAUAGCACUAUGGGCGGAGGGCUGGUGCAGCAAAGCCGCGUGGGGGAUGACGGCAAGGGGGUUGUAAUCCAAAUUCGCCUUUGACGAAACGAGAGUGACGGUAAUGGGUAAAGAAGCACCGGCUAACUACGUG